ACUCCUACGGGAGGCAGCAGUGGGGAAUAUUGCACAAUGGGGGAAACCCUGAUGCAGCCAUGCCGCGUGUGUGAAGAAGGCCUUCGGGUUGUAAAGCACUUUCAGUAGGGAGGAAGGUAGUGUAGUUAACACCUGCACUAUUUGACGUUACCUACAGAAGAAGCACCGGCUAACUCCGUGCCAGCAGCCGCGGUAAUACGGAGGGUGCGAGCGUUAAUCGGAAUUACUGGGCGUAAAGCGCAUGCAGGCGGCCUGUUAAGUCAGAUGUGAAAGCCCGGGGCUUAACCUCGGAAUUGCAUUUGAAACUGGCAGGCUAGAGUCUUGUAGAGGGGGUUAGAAUUUCAGGUGUAGCGGUGAAAUGCGUAGAGAUCUGAAGGAAUACCAGUGGCGAAGGCGGCCCCUGGACAAAGACUGACGCUCAGAUGCGAAAGCGUGGGAGCAAACAGGAUUAGAUACCCCUGGUAGACUGUCA
rnacentral:rRNA from 1 species